rnacentral:lncRNA from 1 species
UCCGGUUUUUAGUGUGAAGUUUCACUUCACACUAUUGUGAUGGCUGGCGAAUUCACACGAAUCAGUCAAUCAUAGAGUAAACUUUCCGGGGGGUGUAUACGAUUUAUGUUCGUAGUGAUUUAUUGUACUUAGUCAGUACUUUGAAGGUUAUUUAGGCAAUUUCAGUUAACUUAUUUACAUAUUCUGUUAUCCUUUUGCCAAGUUCACAAAAAUUUCGAGGAAUCGCUUUCGUUAUUAUAAUUUUUUGUAACUUUUAGAACAUUCGCUUCUCAUGUUGUUUAAAGGAUCUAUACCCCGGAACACCCGAUUUUUUCUUUAAUAGCGCAAAUGCGCAUGCGCUAUCAAGCCGUAGAUCACGAUGGCGUGACGAUAUGCUAGGAAGGAGUGACAGUGUUGUUUUCAGAUGUAUAAACAUUUCAGACGUGAA